rnacentral:rRNA from 1 species
GAACGCUAGCGGCAGGCUUAAUACAUGCAAGUCGAGGGGCAGCAUGGUGUAGCAAUACACUGAUGGCGACCGGCAAACGGGUGCGGAACACGUACAGAACCUUCCUUCGAGCGGGGAAUAGCCCAGAGAAAUUUGGAUUAAUACCCCAUAGUAUUAUGGAGUGGCAUCACUUUGUAAUUAAAGAUUUAUCACUUGAAGAUGGCUGUGCGGCUGAUUAGGUAGUUGGCUGGGUAACGGCCCACCAAGCCUACGAUCAGUAACUGGUCUGAGAGGAUGAUCAGUCACACUGGAACUGAGACACGGUCCAGACUCCUACGGGAGGCAGCAGUGAGGAAUAUUGGGCAAUGCUCGAAAGAGUGACCCAGCAACGCCGCGUGGAGGAUGAAGGUAUUCUAUAUCGUAAACUCCUGUGAGAGCAGACGAAAGACAGAUUAUUAAUCUGGAUGACUGUAUGCUCAGAGGAAGCCCCGGCUAACUACGUG